rnacentral:rRNA from 1 species
AUGAAUAUGUUGCAUCCAAAUCUGCAUUUAUCUCUCUGCAAUAUGCUCAUUUGCUAUAUAGUUUUGAAGUUUACAUAUCAUGUAUAUUUAUUACCAUAUCCUGCUCGAACGUUUGGGCGUUCUUCGAAGGAAUAUCUUUUUUUUCUAUUGCAGCUUUCUCCUGGAAACCGUUGUUAUGAACCAAUCAACUCUUUGAGAAUUAAAGGUAUGCCAAUAUACUCGACUACUAUUCUCAUGUUGCUUUGCUAUCUACUAUUUUCAUACCUGGUUUGGCUUGCUUGUGGUGCGUUCUGUUGUAUAGAUGCAUUGUUAUGA